UACGGGGGGAGCAAGCGUUGUUCGGAUUUACUGGGCGUAAAGGGCGCGUAGGCGGCCUCCGCAAGUCAGUCGUGAAAUCUCCGAGCUUAACUCGGAAAGGUCAACUGAUACUGCGGGGCUAGAGUGCGGAAGGGGCAACUGGAAUUCUUGGUGUAGCGGUGAAAUGCGUAGAUAUCAAGAGGAACACCUGCGGCGAAGGCGGGUUGCUGGGCCGACACUGACGCUGAGGCGCGAAAGCUAGGGGAGCGAACGGG
rnacentral:rRNA from 1 species